UGGGGAAUAUUGCACAAUGGGCGAAAGCCUGAUGCAGCGACGCCGCAUGAGGGAUGACGGCCUUCGGGUUGUAAACCUCUUUCAGCAGGGACGAAGCGCAAGUGACGGUACCUGCAGAAGAAGCACCGGCUAACUACGUGCCAGCAGCCGCGGUAAUACGUAGGGUGCGAGCGUUGUCCGGAAUUAUUGGGCGUAAAGAGCUCGUAGGCGGUUUGUCGCGUCGGCCGUGAAAACUUGGGGCUUAACUCCAAGCUUGCGGUCGAUACGGGCAGACUUGAGUUCGGCAGGGGAGACUGGAAUUCCUGGUGUAGCGGUGAAAUGCGCAGAUAUCAGGAGGAACACCGGUGGCGAAGGCGGGUCUCUGGGCCGAUACUGACGCUGAGGAGCGAAAGCGUGGGGAGCGAACAGGAUUAGAUACCCUGGUAGUCCACGCCGUAAACGGUGGGUGCUAGGUGUGGGGGGCUUCCACGCCCUCUGUGCCGCAGCCAACGCAUUAAGCACCCCGCCUGGGGAGUACGGCCGCAAGGCUAA
rnacentral:rRNA from 1 species